AUUAAUAUAGGUCCCUGUUCUCAAGCUCACCUUUAGUUGGAAAGCCAAGGUCUUGCAAACGAAACCAACUUAGUUUCAUGUUCCUCAGGUCCUUUUGGUGGUGGAUGGUGGUGGCUUUUGAUGAAACAGGGCACACAGAAGGACACAGGUGCCUGCCCCCCGCCCCAGCCUCCCCAUCGGGGGGUGUGCUGCAAUGAGGAUGACUCUUAGGCCACAUUCCGAAACAGGAACCACCUUCUAUCCAUGAGUAGGUAGAAGCCAGCCAGUCCUGCCAGCUGGUCUGUAAUUUUGGUGAGAACUGCACUCAUUCUUCUUUCAGGCUUUCCCACAAACACCUGCGUGUAAGUUUCACUGGAGGCCAAUGCGGCUGCACCCCGACAAUGAAUCAACUCACUCACGUCAGAGGGCAGAAGCCCCCAGUUAGUGCAAGACCAGAGCCAAGCAGGGCUAAGAUCUCGGGCUCCCUUUCUUCUGCCCAUGAGAAGAGAGCGAUGCUUGACCGAGCCUUUCUGGUCCACCACGUAUCUUCAACACUGCCCGUUCGAGAAGCGACAAGUUGCUUCCACUCUCCUUGACCAAAAAGCCAGUCGUUUGGUGCAGACAGCAAUGAGGAUAUUUGAAGUUGCUGCAGCACCUACCCCCCACCCCCCGGCCAGGGCUGGUUAAAUGUUUGAUAACCACCCUGGAUGAGGGAGUUCCUGGUUUAGAUACUUCAGAUACAAACUGAAAGCUCUAGGUUGUGGCUUAAAAUUGACUUGCACACAGAUGUCAUACUGUUAGAGAAAAUAUAAAAGUGAAAAUCCUUGCCGCGGGAUAGGUACAGAUAAAGGUGUGAGAACCCAAACAUGGAGGUGAGUGAGGACCUGCGUGGGGCUCACAGUGGUGGCUUAGAGAAGUUUCUGGAGAAAGCCAUGUCUCUUUUUCGUUCGUUCAAGUUUUAUUGAAGUAUGGUUGAUGUACAGUGGUGUGAUAAUUUCUGCGGUACAACAAAGUGACUCAGUUAUACGUGUCCACGCAUCCAUUCUUUUUCAGGUUCUUCUCCCACGUAGACGCUCACAGAAUAUCGGGUGGAGUUCUCUGUGCUGCGCCAAGGUUCGUGGAAUGACUGGCCAGCAGGGAUCAGAGAAGGCCAUCCAAAGCAGAGCUCCGGAGGUUCAGCGAUGCUUAGAUGAGAGGGCCGUGGUUCCGUGGUUCUCCGCAUCCAUGUGCCUGAGCGUCUCGCGAGGACAUCUCCGGGAAUCUCCAGCUGCACCAGAAGCCCGCAGAUUGUUCUCUGAAAUGCUGGCACUCGGUCACACCCUUACCAGGAAGGUAGGGAAGUUCCCGUUUCUUCACGUUCUCUUCAACACUGGACAUGGUCACAUUUAAAAAUUUUUGCCCAUUUGAUGCGAGUGGGAGGGUAUCUCAUUUGUGUCCUUAUUUCCGCAGUGACCGGGGAAGUGGAUGGAACACAUCAUUGCGUAUUUAUGGGCUUUUAAGGUUUCCUCUUUUAUGAAUCGGCAGUUAACAUCCAUGGCCUGCUUACCUCCUGGGUGGGUGGACUCAGCUUGAUAUGCAGAGUGAAGACCUUUGGGGCUCUGCUGUGAUACUCGUUGUCUGUAUUUAUGACCCCCGCAUCCCACAAGCUCUCGUUGGCUUUAUCAUGUUGCUUAUGGCAUCUUUGCUUGUCCUCAGGUGUUAAAACGUUGCUUGAAUUUAUGCUCACUGAAUCUGGUUCCCUUUUUGCUGUGUGUUUAUGCCUUGAUGUUAUGAAGCAGCCCUGCCAUCUGCUUCGGAACGGUUUCAAGUCUUGCUCUCCACACUGGAGUCCAGCGUUAGGUUUUCUCAUGUUGACAGUCACUGGUCCCAUGGCCAUUUAUUCUCUCUGAGGGGUAGUGUCACCUGUGUCCUAGAUUGAGGUGACAUCUGGGAGGGCAAGACCUCCAGUGGCCUGGUGACUCCUGGCCUUUUGCUCUUGUUCACACCGGUUAGAGGUAUCUUAGGUCACACACGCACACAGGCAUGUGCACACACAGAGUCCGUGAAGGGAUGAUUUUUCUUUUUUUUUUCUUGCACUGAAUUUAAAGAAUACUUUGGAAGAGAUCUGCCGUCUUUAAGAUAGUUAUCCCAUCCACACCCGGGACAGCUUUUCAUGUGUUAGGUCUUCAUGAUGUCUUUCCAUGCAGUUCUAGAAUUUUCUAUGCAAAUAUCUUCUGCAUUCUUCGAUUUUUUUCCUUGUACAUCUUGCCUCAUGUUUUCCGUUGCUAUUGGAAGUGACUGUUAUUUAUUGAUUUAUUUUGGGCCGCAGCAGGCAGCAGCUUCUUGUGGAUCUCAGUUCCCAGACUAGGGACUCAACCUGGAGGGCAGUGGUGAAUGCGCCGAAUCCUAACCCCUAGACCACCAGGGAGCCCUCAGAAAUGAGUCCUUGUACAUUAUGCCUUCUAGUUUUUUGUUAGAUUUUUUUUCCUCCCCAGAUCAUUUGUGCUUUCAGAACAAGUAACUUCCGAGUAGGAAGUGAUGAUGAUCCUUUAAACACGACCUGACGGGUUGUGCCCAGAUCCGUGGCUGGCCUGCCUUCCAGGGGUUGACAGCUGAUAGAGGCCAGCUUGGACCACCGCGUGGGCCUGUCUGCCCACCUUCCCAGUCCCUCAUCAUCUCGUUCCACUGUGUGGCAGAUGACCUCUUCCGAACUGGAGCAGUUUCUUCUUUCGUUUCUAGAGAAAUCGAUAGUUUGCUCUGCUUGUAAGUUCCAGACACACUCAAGAGUCCUCUGGAGAGCUACGCUGAUUCGGACAAGCGCUGCAGGCUGCCAGGACCAGGGGAAGAAACCCCUGGUUUUCCCAUCCAUCCUCUUCCAGAUCCGCUCACAAGGGUACAGCCCUUUGUGUUUAUCUGCCCCGAAUCCAUAGUCAUGUCACUAACACAAAGAGGGUUUCGAUUUUAUCCUCCUCGAAGUCUUUGCUAUUCAGCUACUUUCCCAGGAUUAUAAAACAUGAGAGGAAGGAAACCCCUGCUGUGUCUCUGGGCCGUGGUCGUCCGCCCUGCGAGAGAGCCUGGCCCCCAAGCGAAGGUCCUCCUAGACCAUCCAAGCCCCUUCUCCCUCCCUCUCCGCUCCGACCCUGCCUCCAUCCCGACUCUCUUCAUCCCCCUCCUCCUACUGUCUCUUGCUGCUGCUGCAAUGAAUCACCACAUCCUCCAUCACUUAGCACAGCACAUAUCCGUCAUCUCACAGUUCUGGGGGCCAGAAGCCCCUUGGGGCUCGCUGGCCAAAGUCAAGGUGUUAACAGGACUGCAUUCUUUACGAAGCCUCCGGGGGAGGCUGUGCUUUCUGACCUCUUCUGCUUCUGGGGGAAGGCCUCCCUUGGCUCAUGGGCCCCUUCUUCCCUCUCUAAAGCCAGCGAUGGCCAGUGCCCCACCCUGCCUGCCUCCCUUGUCACAUCUUUCUCCUCCUUUUUCCCCUUAAAGACCUUUGUGAGACCUUGGGCCCCCCUGCGCCAUCCGGGAUAACCGCCCAUCUCCAGGUCCUUCAUCAAAAGCAAAGGAUGUGGACAUCUUUGGGGACAUUCUCUGGCCUACCUCACACUUCGACCAGAGUUCUUUUAAACUGAGAGCCGAGACUCGAAGAACCAGCUCAGUGGUUUGGGACCAGCCUUCCCCUCCCCCAGCUUUAUUGAAAAAUAAUUGUCAUUUAUCCCUGGGUAAAUCUAAGGUAUACAGUGUGAUGGCUUGAUUUAGAUACUUUAUAAAAUGUUUACCACAGUGUGGAACCAGUAUUUCCAAAUGAAAUCAGAGUCCUUUGCUCUGGCAGGGUUAAGUAUUAUUUCAUGGGCUUCAGAUGUGUGUGUGUGUGUGUGUGACUUGGUUAGCCGUAUAAACAUAGAAUAUAUUUCUUCCCGUGAGUUUUGAUUUUCUUUUUUCAAAGGAAAGCAGCUGCAGAACUGUCACAGUAGCCUCCUAAUUGGUCUUUCGGCCUCCAGGCUCUCUAAGCCGUCCUCCACAAGGCUGCCAGAAAGUUCUUCCUAAAAAUAAACCAGACAUAUCACUCUGCUAAAAAGCUCCAAGGGCUCUCCGCAGCCAGCUGGAUGCUCUGCUCCUGCUCCUCCGGACCCACUGUCCUCUUCCCGCCCUGGGGCUGCCCACCUCGGGCCGCCUCACCCAGGCUCCUUUGCUCCGAUGUCCACUUGGGUGUGGACACUGGGAGGCCUGGGGAGAGUCAGAGGGCUGGAGGGAGAGACGUUCAGGGCACUUUCCCCCCAGCUUCUUCUCUGCUGGGCAAGGCCAGCUUCGAGGGUGUGUCAUCCGUGCAGCAGGACGGGGACCCUGUGCUCAGAAAGGCCGCCCCUUGGUUUAGCGCUCUGCUCUCACCGUCUUAACACUGGGAAUCGUUUUGAACAAGGGGUCUUCGUUUUCAUUCUGCAUGGGGCCCUGCACAUGGGUCACUCGUUCUGCCUCCAGGGCACACGCGGCCGUGACAGUGUUCCUCUGCCGAGGGCACAGCUCGUGUCUGGCACCCAUCUCCCCCCUCCCCACGGUCAGGCUCCGGCGAACGCACCCACGAGCUCCAGCCAUCCUGGCGGUGACGGAGCUUCCUGCUGUUGCUGGGCCCUCGGGCCUGCAUCCUCCAUCGGCUAGACAGUCCCUUCUUUAAACUCACUUUGCCUCCUCCAAGAGCACCUCUGCUUCCUCUUGGGACCCUCACGGAUAAACAGUCUACAGACAACAUGCAAAGUCUUGUCCUUCCUAAGAUGUCACAGGUUUGCCGCUCCUGGUCUUUGUCGCGGACCCCCUGCUACCUCGUUCCGACUCCUGCAUCAGUCCUCUCUUUCCAUAAACACACUCAGGGCUUUCGUGUUCUGCGGUGGCUCACGGUUCCCCAGUAUGUGUUUCUUCUUCCAGAGGGAUUCUGCUGGGCACAAAGUUACCCAGACGAGGACAGCAUAGCCCAGGCUCCCCUGUGGGCAGGGUGUUGCUGGGACUAAAUUCUGCCUAAAGCUCUGCGAGCAGAAGUGCUUGUGUGUUUGGCAGAUGCCAGGAAACUUCCCUAAGAGAUUCCCGGACCAUUAGCUCUGCUGGCCGUCCUUUGCCCCUUCUCCCAUUCUGUGGCCUGAAAUGUGGGCCGUCUGGGCUGCGAGCGUAGGGGGCAUACCCUACGGAUGUAGCGUGAUGAUCUGGAGGACACCUGUGUCCCUGGAGGUCUCAGGGCACAAAGUCUUCGUACCAGUUCCGGAUUCAGUGCCUCCCGGCCUAAGGACUUAUGCAUAAGACAGAGAGAGACUCUUUUUAAGCCAUUGAUAUUUGGCUUUUCUAUUUCUUACCGAUGAACCUAAGCAAGGCUGCACCUGUCAUCACUCACUGAACAGGUACUUAUGGAGAGCUGUGUGCUGAGCUCUGUUAGAGGCUGUGGGUGGGGAGGUGGCUUGGAAUCGGCAGGUAGCAGUAGGCCAUGUGCAGGUGGAGGCAGUGGCGAUUUGAAGAGGUCGUGGAUAAAGAGGGCAUGCUCGGAGGAACAGGCCUGUCGGAACAGGAAGAGCACAGACUUCAAGGCCGAACUGGACCAUAAUGGAGGAACCGAAGUCCCAAGGCCACAAGAGGUUCCAACCUGCAAACAAUACACUGCCCCAGAGGUACCUUACUAGACCGAGGGGCUGGGAAAGGUGAAUAAAAUGAACAAAAUGUGUUUUGCACAUACAAGCAAAACCAGAGCAGAAGCUGAGUAACUAAUACUGCCAGAGGACUUCUAAGAGGGAUUCUUAAAAUGACAAAGUGCAAGACGUUUUCUUGAUGAAGGAGAAAAGACAAGGAAAAUUGCCAUCACGCGAGUAUGUGCCAAAAUACAGACUCCAAACCGUUAGAAUUAUAGGUAUGACAUUUUAGAAAAAUGAUAAAUUGAGACAUUUUUAAUACACUCCUAUUUAGUUCUCUAAAGAUUAGGCAGAUGAAAAAAUAAUCUGGGAUAGAGAUCUGAACAAUUCGUCUUAAAAUGAUUUAGGAGGUCCCAUCAUGGUUCAGCGGUAAUGAACCCGAACAGCAUCCUCGAGGACAUGGGUUUGAUCCCUGGCCUCGCUCCAUGGGUUAAGGAUCCGGCUUUGUCGUGAGCCGUGGUGGAGGUCGCAGAUGUGGCUCAGAUCCUGAGUUGCUGUGGCUGUGGUGUAGGCUGGCAGCUGCAGCUCCAAUUCAACCCCUAGCCUGGGAACUUCCAUAUGCCUCAGGUGCGGCCCUUAAAAAAAAAAAAAAAAAAAAAAAAAAAA
rnacentral:lncRNA from 1 species